rnacentral:rRNA from 1 species
CAGUCGAGGGGUAUAGGUUUUCGGACCUAGAGACCGGCGCACGGGUGCGUAACGCGUAUGCAAUCUACCUUUUACAGAGGGAUAGCCCAGAGAAAUUUGGAUUAAUACCUCAUAGUAUUAUUGAAUGGCAUCAUUUGAUAAUUAAAGUCACAACGGUAAAAGAUGAGCAUGCGUCCCAUUAGCUUGUUGGUAAGGUAACGGCUUACCAAGGCAACGAUGGGUAGGGGUCCUGAGAGGGAGAUCCCCCACACUGGUACUGAGACACGGACCAGACUCCUACGGGAGGCAGCAGUGAGGAAUAUUGGUCAAUGGGCGCAAGCCUGAACCAGCCAUGCCGCGUGCAGGAUGAAGCAUCUAUGGUGUGUAAACUGCUUUUGUACGAGAAGAAACACUCCUACGUGUAGGAGCUUGACGGUAUCGUAAGAAUAAGGACCGGCUAACUCCGUGCCAGCAGCCGCGGUAAUACGGAGGGUCCAAGCGUUAUCCGGAAUCAUUGGGUUUAAAGGGUCCGUAGGCGGUUUUGUAAGUCAGUGGUGAAAGCCCAUCGCUCAACGGUGGAACGGCCAUUGAUACUGCAAGACUUGAAUUAUUGGGAAGUAACUAGAAUAUGUAGUGUAGCGGUGAAAUGCUUAGAGAUUACAUGGAAUACCAAUUGCGAAGGCAGGUUACUACCAAUAUAUUGACGCUGAUGGACGAAAGCGUGGGGAGCGAACAGGAUUAGAUACCCUGGUAGUCCACGCCGUAAACCGAUGGAUACUAGCUGUUCGGAGCAAUCUGAGUGGCUAAGCGAAAGUGAUAAGUAUCCCCCCUGGGGAGUACGUUCGCAAGAAUGAAACUCAAAGGAAUUGAC